rnacentral:misc_RNA from 1 species
AAAGAUCGCAGCCUUCGGCAGCUCCUACGGGGGUCUCGCAUUCCAACUGUAGGAGCUGCCGAAGGCUGCGAUCUUU